GACGUAGGGCGCGAGCGUUGUCCGGAUUUAUUGGGCGUAAAGAGCUCGUAGGCGGCUUGUUGCGUCGACUGUGAAAACCCGCGGCUUAACUGCGGGCUUGCAGUUGAUACGGGCAGGCUAGAGUUCGGUAGGGGAGACUGGAACUCCUGGUGUAGCGGUGGAAUGCGCAGAUAUCAGGAAGAACACCAACGGCGAAGGCAGCUCGCUGGGACGGUACUGACGCUGAGACGCGAAAGCGUGGGGAGCGAACAGG
rnacentral:rRNA from 1 species